rnacentral:rRNA from 1 species
AUUGAACGCUGGCGGCAGGCCUAACACAUGCAAGUCGAGCGGCAGCGGAAGGAAGCUUGCUUCCUUGCCGGCGAGCGGCGGACGGGUGAGUAAGGUAUGGGGAUCUGGCCGAAGGCGGGGGAUAACCACUGGAAACGGUGGCUAAUACCGCAUAAUCUCUAAGGAGCAAAGUGGGGGACCGUUCAGGCCUCACACCUUCGGAUGAACCCAUAUGAGAUUAGCUAGUAGGUGGGGUAAUGGCUCACCUAGGCGACGAUCUCUAGCUGGUCUGAGAGGAUGAUCAGCCAAACUGGGACUGAGACACGGCCCAGACUCCUACGGGAGGCAGCAGUGGGGAAUAUUGCACAAUGGGCGGAAGCCUGAUGCAGCCAUGCCGCGUGUAUGAAGAAGGCCUUCGGGUUGUAAAGUACUUUCAGUCGUGAGGAAGGUGUUAAGGUUAAUAACCUUAGCAAUUGACGUUAGCGACAGAAGAAGCACCGGCUAACUCCGUGCCAGCAGCCGCCGCCG